AUUGAACGCUGGCGGCAGGCUUAACACAUGCAAGUCGAGCGCGCGGCGGACGGGUGAGUAAUGUCUGGGACACUGCCAGAUGGAGGGGGAUAACUACUGGAAACGGUAGCUAAUACCGCAUACCAUCAGAUGUGCCCAGAUGGGAUUAGCUAGUAGGUGGGGUAAGGGCUCACCUAGGCGAAUAUCCCUAGCUGGUCUGAGAGGAUGACCGGCCACACUGGAACUGAGACACGGUCCAGACUCCUACGGGAGGCAGCAGUGGGGAAUGUUGCACAAUGGGCGAAAGCCUGAUGCAGCCAUGCCGCGUGAGUGAUGAAGGCCUUCGGGUUGUAAAGCACUGUCAGCGGGGAGGCGUUACUCGCAGAAGAAGCAACGGCUAACUCCGUGCCAGCAGCCGCGGUAAUUC
rnacentral:rRNA from 1 species